rnacentral:lncRNA from 1 species
AAAAAUCUUAAAGAGAUAUUAAAAGAAUCAUGUAGAAAUUUUAAAGAAACUCCAAAGAAGUCAUAAAAUAAAAUAAAAUAAAUCCUAAAAAAAUCAUAAAAAAAUCUCAAAGAUUUUUAAAAAAAAAAUAUUUUAAAUGAAUCUAAAAUUAAAAUUUAUCAAAACUUAAAAAAUCCUAAUCAAAUCCUAAUUAAAUCUUAAUAAAAUCCUAAUAAAA